ensembl:ncRNA C54D10.17 ncRNA
AAUAGACAAAAAAGAGCACAUAUACGAACAGCUCAUUCGUUCCAAAAGCUCUUGUGCUUCUCGACUUCUCGAAACAAAAUGGCACGGCAUCCCGUUGAACCGAUUUUUCAUUUACCCUUUUGCGUUGCAUAGGAAAAAUAGGAGGCACUUGUGUAAGCUGUGAAUUGG